GACGAACGCUGGCGGCGCGCUUAACACAUGCAAGUCGAGCGAUGAAACUUAAACAGUACGCUUUGGGCGGAAGAUAAAGUGGAUCAGCGGCGGAAGGGUGAAUAACACGUCAGUAACCUGCCUUAGACAUUGGGAUAACCACUGCAAAUCGUGAGUAAUACCAAAUAAAAUCAUAAUGACACAUGUCAUAACGAUCAAAACUCCGGUGGUCUGAGAUGGACUUUCGUCCUACUAGCUAGUUGGUAGAGUAAAAGCCUACCAAGGAGACGAAGAGUAGCCGGCCAGGAGAGAUGAACGCGCACAUUAGAGGUGAGAAACGGUCGGAACCUUUACGGAAGGCAGCAAUGGUGAAUAUUGCACAAUGCAAGAAAGCUGGAUGCAGCCGCGCUGCGUGAACGAAGAAGGCGUUCGGGACGGAAAGUGUUCUUAGAUGGGACGAUAAUGACGGUACCAUAAAAAAAAGCCACGGCUAACUACGUG
rnacentral:rRNA from 1 species